rnacentral:lncRNA from 1 species
GGGCGCGAAAACUUAAGUUAGGGGUGCUGGAUUUGAGUACGACACAAAAUGGAAAGGGGAAAGCGUGUGUGAAAUAGGGGUUUUACCCUAAUCAAGGUCAAAGGCUAAUUUAGCCAUUUUAAAACUUUGGAGGUACAGAAACAAAAAUAUGGAGUACAGGAAGAAAUCCCCAAAACAAAAUGAAACUGAAGAAAGAAAACAUACUUCGAGGGAGCGUUCCUCCCUCUACCACCACCACCACAUGCCAUCUUUCUAUUUCUCUUUUCUAAUAUUCAAUGUAGUAGUUAAAAAUUUUAACUUUUUUUUAACUUUCAACCACUUCAUUAAUACUCUCCUCAAUAUAUAAAUGUACCCCUACACUCCAAUCAUUCCAAUGAAAUCAAAUUCCUCUUCUUUUUAUUCUCUCCUCCAAUAUAUGAAUGCAUCCUUAUUUCCAUAGAAAUCAAAUUCAUUUUCUUUUCCCUGUACCAGUUCUCCUUUAGAAAUAAAACAAUUCAAAACAAAAUCAAUUAUUUUUAAU